rnacentral:rRNA from 1 species
UUUCCUGGUUGAUCCUGCCGGACCUGACUGCUAUCGGAUUGGUACUAAGCCAUGCGAGUCGUUGUACAAUACAAGGCGGACUGCUCAGUAACACGUAGUUAACUUAACCUAUGGAUGGGCAUAACCUCGGGAAACUGAGAAUAAUACCCAAUGGACCACAGUGCCUGGAAUGGCCUGUGGUUGAAAUGAUUUAUCGCCGUAGGAUAGGACUGCGGCCUAUCAGCUUGUUGGUGAGGUAAUGGCCCACCAAGGCUAUAACAGGUACGGGCUCUGAGAGGAGGGGCCCGGAGAUGGGUACUGAGACACGGACCCAGGCCCUAUGGGGCGCAGCAGGCGAGAAACCUUUGCAAUGUGCGUAAGCACGACAAGGUUAAUCCGAGUGUCUCCUGCUAAAGGAGUCUUUUGUCAGUUGUAGAAUCACUGGUGAAUAAGGGGUGGGCAAGUUCUGGUGUCAGCCGCCGCGGUAAAACCAGCACCUCGAGUGGUCAGGAGGUUUAUUGGGCCUAAAGCAUCCGUAGCCGGUUGCAUAAGUUUUCGGUUAAAUCUAUGCGCUCAACGUAUAGGCCGCCGAAAAUACUGUGCAGCUAGGGAGUGGGAGAGG